rnacentral:misc_RNA from 1 species
UGUGGGAGCGGGCUUGCUCGCGAAAGCGUCAGGUCAGUCGACCCAUCUGUUACUGAUACACCGCAUUCGCGAGCAAGCCCGCUCCCACA